rnacentral:rRNA from 1 species
UGGGGAAUAUUGCGCAAUGGGCGAAAGCCUGACGCAGCGACGCCGCGUGAGGGAUGAAGGUUUUCGGAUCGUAAACCUCUGUCAGAAGGGAAGAAACCGCACUGUGCUAAUCAGCAGUGCCUUGACGGUACCUUCAAAGGAAGCACCGGCUAACUCCGUGCCAGCAGCCGCGGUAAUACGGAGGGUGCAAGCGUUAAUCGGAAUUACUGGGCGUAAAGCGCACGUAGGCUGCUUUGUAAGUCAGGGGUGAAAUCCCACGGCUCAACCGUGGAACUGCCUUUGAUACUGCUUAGCUUGAAUCCGGGAGAGGGUGGCGGAAUUCCAGGUGUAGGAGUGAAAUCCGUAGAUAUCUGGAGGAACAUCAGUGGCGAAGGCGGCCUCCUGGACCGGUAUUGACGCUGAGGUGCGAAAGCGUGGGGAGCAAACAGG